rfam:Oryctolagus cuniculus chromosome 19, whole genome shotgun sequence.
GGUGCUGUGGUGUAGCAGGUUAACACCCUGGCCUGAAGCGCCGGCAUCCCAUAUGGUCGCUGGUUCAAGACCUGGCUGCUCCU